rnacentral:rRNA from 1 species
UACGGAGGGUGCAAGCGUUGCUCGGAAUUAUUGGGCGUAAAGGGUAGGUAGGUGGUCUCGUUUGUCUGGGGUGAAAGCCUUGAGCUUAACUCAAGAAGUGCCUCAGAAACGGCGAGACUAGAGUUCUGGAGAGGGUCGUGGAAUUCCUGGUGUAGCGGUGAAAUGCGCAGAUAUCAGGAGGAACACCAGUGGCGAAGGCGGUGCUCUGGGCCGGAACUGACGCUGAGGAGCGAAAGCGUGGGGAGCAAACAGG